GACAGAGGUGCCGAGCGUUAGGCGGAAUCACUGGGCUUAAAGCGUGUGUAGGCGGAUCGUUAAGUGCCUUGUGAAAUCCCACGGCUCAACCGUGGAACUGCUGGGCAUACUGCCGAUCUUGAGCCACUUAGGGGCAACCGGAACAAACGGUGGAGCGGUGAAAUGCGUAGAUAUCAGGAGGAACACCGGUGGCGAAGGCGGGACUCUGGGCCGAUACUGACGCUGAGGAGCGAAAGCGUGGGGAGCAAACAGG
rnacentral:rRNA from 1 species